GAUUUCAGGACUUUUUCUCAAUUUUAAUUGACUUGGUACAUUGCUGAGGAGAUGUGAAAAGCAAGUAACUCACACCUAUAAUCACAGUGUCCUUAGGAUUUGAAAAAGUAAUUUGAACUCUGAGAUACUUGUGUGACCUGUAGGACACCCAGAAAGGAACUCGCCCUAUUGCGGUUUGGUUUUGUGAUGGAGGCUACUUAUCUAGUCAGCUCUCUUGGAAGUCAAAGCUGAUGGCAUUCCCAUUUGGGACCACCUAGACCAAACAUCUAUGUCAACACCUGGAGGAAUGCUUCUACUUAAGACAUUGCAAAGGAAACAGAGGGACUGAUUUAGAUUAGUUGGAUCCAUAUGUAAUGAAAGUUCUGCCUAAUUAACUGUAAAAUUGACUUCAGCUUUAAAAUAAAUAUGUGACUGUAAAGUCCAACAUCUCUUCUCUUGGGGGUCAAGGCCUUCCCGGCCACUUGGAUGCUUCAGAUGAGUAAAGUAUUGGUUAACAAUUUAUUUAUAUUCUUAGUCCAAUAAAAGAACUAAGGAGAAAAUUAAAUUCAUGCCUAGGGACUUCUUAAACCCCAUUCCCAAAUAUAAAGGAAUAUAGUAUAUACACUUAUAUGAAAGAAUAUGUGUAUAUAUACUCGGCCCAGUAAAAAAUCCUUGACAAAAUAGCAAUACUCUAAAUUUUUUUUUCAGAAAUUGGCAAGCCUCUUCAAAGUGAUGGGAAAGACAUUAAUAUUUGGUGAGGAAUUCUACAUAGUAGGGAUAGUUAACGUGACCUUUAUAAGGCUUACAGAGUUUAAAGCAUUUUUCUGAAGUCACAUGGCUGGUAAUGGGUCCAAGUGAGUUUCAAAACCAGGUCUGGGGCCAGCCCAGGGGCACAGCGGUUAUGUUCGCACGUUCCGCUUCUCGGAAGCCCGGGGUUCGCCGGUUCAGAUCCCAGGUGCUGACAUGGCACCACUUGUCAAGCCAUGCUGUGGCAGGUGUCCCACGUAUAAAGUAGAGGAAGAUGGGCACGGAUGUUAGCUCAGGGUCAGUCUUCCUCAGCAAAAAGAGGAGGAUUGGCAGCAGAUGUUAUCUCAUGGCUAAUCUUCCUCAAAAAAAAUAAAAAAUAAAUUAAAAAAAAAAAAA
rnacentral:lncRNA from 1 species